GGCCGCCUGGCGUAAUGGAAGCGCGUCUGACUACGAUUUCGGAUCGCGAUCAGGAGGUUGCAGGUUCGAUCCCUGCGGUGGUCA